rnacentral:rRNA from 1 species
CCUACGGGAGGCAGCAGUGAGGAAUAUUGGUCAAUGGGCGUAAGCCUGAACCAGCCAAGUCGCGUGAGGGAUGAAGGUUCUAUGGUUCGUAAACUUCUUUUAUAAGGGAAUAAAGUGAGGCACGUGUUCCAUUUUGUAUGUACUUUAUGAAUAAGGAUCGGCUAACUCCGUGCCAGCAGCCGCGGUAAUACGGAGGAUCCGAGCGUUAUCCGGAUUUAUUGGGUUUAAAGGGUGCGUAGGCGGACUGUUAAGUCAGCGGUGAAAGUCUGUGGCUCAACCGUAGAAUUGCAGUUGAAACUGGGGGGCUUGAGUAUGUUUGAGGCAGGCGGAAGUCGUGGUGUAGCGGUGAAAUGCUUAGAUAUCACGAAGAACCCCGAUUGCGAAGGCAGCCUGCCAAACCAUGACUGACGCUGAUGCACGAAAGCGUGGGGAUCAAACAGGAUUAGAUACCCUUGUAGUA